GCAGCGCCCUGCAGAGAGGGAACUGUUGCCACCCCUGUUUUACAGGUAGGGGGUUUGUAGCCCAGGAGGAGGGUGACUCUGCCAGGUACCUGUCCACACACGCCCCCCAGGAGUGUGUUGAGGGAGGCACCGUCUCCUGCACUGACACCCACCUCCCCUCCGCCCUGUGCUUGGGCUUUCCUGGGCCUUUCAGCGUGGCUGCCCCUGCGUGUGUGUGACAGUUACUAGCUGUGUCACCACACCUGCUGAGAGGAGCCAGGCAAGGCUUCCCUUGCUUGUGGUUCUGAUUGAUUUAGCUGAUAAAAUGGAGGCAAACAAAAAUAAAGUCCUGAGACCAAGGAACUCAUUUGCAGCUGAAGCCAGUUAGGACUGAGGUGCGUGACUAGCGACCACAAAGUCCAAGCUAAAUCAUAUUCUGGUGCAGACUCCUUGGCACCGAGCAGAAUAUCAGUACAGAAAUGUUUCUCAGUCUCACAGCCCCCUAAGAGGGCUUGGUUUUUCCCACUCUGUUGCUGUGAAGGAGAAGCGAGGAAGUGCCUGAGCCACAUGGCUCAGUUGAUUUCUGGUCGCUAUUUUCCCCAAACCAGCCUGACUUCAUGGCCAGUGAGAGAGAACUGUAGUACCCUUGCUAUAGCACUGGUGUGGCCUCUUUCCUGGACGGGCACCACUACUGUUGAGGACACUGCGUAGUUUCCAGCUGAUUUUCAAAAAGGCAAGAGUAAAAUUAUAUGCAGAUAAACCUAUUUUCAUGGUAUUUAUCCAAGCUCACUUAUUUCUGGACUCUGAAUAAGAGUAAAGAUGAAAAAAUUACAAAGCAAAAUAUUUACCAGGGAAAACACUCUGUGAAGGUAAGGACUUUUGAAUACACGUGUUCUGUGGUCCUGGGCCUGUCAAAAUAACCACUGUGGUUGUGGGAAAUCCUGCACGUGGGUCUAAGAGACGGAAGUGAGAGUAGGUCUCCUGGGUCGGUAUCUUCUCCACUCUGAAAAGCUAUUUAUAUUUGAGACUACGGGACUAGCUAGGAUGUUCGGAGAAUGUGACUUUCACUAAGAAACAUAAGGGCACCUAAUUUAUAGAAGCAAAGCUGAUUAUUACACUCACCCCGAAUGCAGGUUAUUGGAGUGUAUCAUCCUUUUGAGAAAGGAGGGAAAAGGCAAACAGAAAUUGAAACUUGGCAAGGAUCUCUGAUGCACUAUUAUACUUUUCUGUGAAUGUCUGUGGUCAAGUGGGAAUGCCCUCAUUCUGACUUUGUGGGUUUUGCAUACUUAAACCCAGGUAGUCCCUCUGAAACCCUGCACAUCAAAUUUAAAAACCAUACUGCAGAGAUUAUAAGUACUUAGAAAAGUACAAAGACACAAUGUGUGCCUGUCUGCAAGAUGUUGUCUGAUUCUGGAGAGUACCUGCUUGAUAUGUGGUCACCUGUGGUCUACGCUGGUGCCUCUGUUUGUUCCCUUUACAAACAUUCAGCUGAGGCUGAAGCUCAACACAGGGAGGCUUAGUGAAGAAAACUCCAGAGGAAAAAAUCACUAGAGGUAGGGUUUGCUCAGCAAGGAUCCCAUUAGAUGGGAAGUGGUUACUUCCUUUCUCAGGAGUCACUGCCUCUCAUCUAGGUCAAGGACUAGACCUUUGAAGACUAGAUACAACUGCUGGGUCUUAAGGGAAUAGGACCAAUUUUUCUCAUUUUCUGCAAAUGAGAAAUCACUGAUGGAUCACCGGGAGAGGAUGGGCCAACAACCCAGACACACUGGUGCAUAAUACACCAAAAGAAGAAUGUUCUCAGACAGCUGUGGAAGGAUGGUAGAAAAAAAGCAAAAACCCAAAAUAUAGUCAUUUUUGUUUUAAAACAGUUUUCAACAUCAAUAUGUAUUAACCCAAAUUCAAAAGCCAAAUUCAAAAUCCAUACAUAGAAGAGAGACAAGUUUAUGCAUAUAUCUUCACGCCAUAUUCCUUUAUCUCUUAUAGCAAAUAUGUAUUUUUAAAUUUGUGGAAAUCUUGUAAAAAUCAAUUAUAUAUUCUUU
rnacentral:lncRNA from 1 species